ACGCAGCAUGGGUGUGGCUAUCAUUGUCCCCUGCGCUAUUGUCAUUGGGCUCGUACCUUGCUGGAUUCUUCUUUGCUGUUUGCUGUGUGGUUGCUGUGGAGCAAUCAGGAGACGUUGGCACAGAAGACGGUCAUACAAUGUACAGUACACAACUCGAAACAGCAUCUUCUAGAGAUUUUCAAGAACAGACUUUGAUGCUUAAAAUAUUAAUUUUCCUGUAUUGCUGGGCAUACAGACCUCUCUAAAUGUGAUGCAACUGUGAUUU